rnacentral:rRNA from 1 species
GAUGAACGCUGGCGGCGUGCCUAAUACAUGCAAGUCGAGCGAACAGACGAGGAGCUUGCUCCUCUGACGUUAGCGGCGGACGGGUGAGUAACACGUGGAUAACCUACCUUUAAGACUGGGAUAACUUCGGGAAACCGGAGCUAAUACCGGAUAAUAUAUUGAACCGCAUGGUUCAAUAGUGAAAGACGGUUUUGCUGUCACUUAUAGAUGGAUCCGCGCCGCAUUAGCUAGUUGGUAAGGUAACGGCUUACCAAGGCGACGAUGCGUAGCCGACCUGAGAGGGUGAUCGGACACACUGGAACUGAGACACGGUCCAGACUCCUACGGGAGGCAGCAGUAGGGAAUCUUCCGCAAUGGGCGAAAGCCUGACGGAGCAACGCCGCGUGAGUGAUGAAGGUCUUCGGAUCGUAAAACUCUGUUAUUAGGGAAGAACAAAUGUGUAAGUAACUAUGCACGUCUUGACGGUACCUAAUCAGAAAGCCACGGCUAACUACGUG